ensembl:lncRNA
GCGCAUUACUCAUGAUGUCGCCAUGCAUUCCAUUACUCUGUAGACAAAAACGAAUGCUCCAGUUGGAACGCUAUUGAAUAUAUAUGAUAACAACAUCCUGAAGAUUGAUUCUCUACUUAAUUUGACCAGUUUAUUCAACCUGGAAUAUAGCUUUUUGAAGUUUUUGUCCAAGUUCCCCUGGACCGGUGCCAGCGUUUGGACAUGUGAACUAAACGUGCUAGCAAAAGUAGCUAAUUGGACACUAGUAAUAGACAUUAUCGAACAAAACAACGAUUUAUUGCGGAACUCGGUUUCCUGGCACUGCAUUCUGAUGAAAGAUCAUCAAAGAACUACCCACCACAAAUGGACCAGGCAGCGUGGUAACCAGGAGCAGAGGGUUCUGGACUCCUGGACUUGGGAGAAGAUACUGGAAGGCAAGGGACCCUGGGUACAGGCUGGGGAAUAUCGCCGCCCCAAGGAAGAGCUGGAGGCAGCGAUAUGAGUUGUGGCUAUCCAAGGCACUCCUGGACAUCACCAAUAGAAGAGUCUUGGAGCAGCCCCUGGGAUGAGUGGAAAUGCAUCGGGGAGUACGAACAAAGGAUCCAAUUCAGGAAAGUCGAAUUUCUGGUCUAAAUGCUGGCUCGGGAGAGACGAAGGUUGAAAGUCAUGCAUCCUCCGAUACACAACCCAACCAAGCCACACUGCUUCUUAACACAGCACGCAUCCAACCCGGAAGCCAGCCGCACUAAUGUGUCAGAGGAAACACUGUGCACCUGGCAACCUUGGUUAGCGUGCACUGCGCCCAGCCCACCACAAGAGUCGCUGGUGCGCGAUGAGACAAGGAUAUCCCUACCGGCCAAGCCCUCCCUAACCCGGAUGACGCUUUGCCAAUUGUGCAUCGCCCCAUGGACCUCCCAGUCGUGGCCGGUUACGACAGAGACUGGGCGUGCACCUAGAGUCUCUGGUGGCACAGCUGGCACUGGAGUACAGCACCCUUAACCACUGCACCACCCGGGAGAACCCAUCUUGUAUUUUUUUUUAUAAAUAAAGCCCUAGUACAAAGCUUCAUAAGGAAAACACUUUUUCUUCCUCAACUUGUUUUCCC